GCGGGCGGGACCGGCUCUGCUGGGGACCGCGAUGUAGUAUAAACGUUAAUGGAUGUCCAGGGCGCGCGUUCUCCCGCUGCUGGCCAGAGGCACUAGGAAGGCGAGGAUGCACCUUCUCCCCUGCCUUGGAAAGUGUUGUCACAGAAUUACGGUCUUCUGUCUGCGAUUAUUAACGGAGUGUUCAUGGAGUGUUCAUGAAGUCCGGCGGACUGUGCUAGGCUCUGAAGGCAUUUGAAAAGAAGGUUGACAUCUACCUGUCUGUCCCCCAGCUGCCACAAGGUGGAUAGGAUGGAUGCAACCCGAGGAGGCGUUCUUUGUUCCUGAGGAUAGAAGGUGCAUUGUGGAGUAAAGAGAUACAGGAAGUAUAGGCGAUGUCAUACCAGCUCUGCAUUGGUUAUCUCCAGAAUUCCUGUACGGAAAAGAAAAACAAACUUUUAUCUUGGUUAAGCUACUAUUAUUUCUGGGCUCUGUUACUAGCUGCCAAAUGCACAUCUUAACUGAUACAGAAGUCCUUGAGGAUUUUGGAGCAAGGGACUGCUUCUGUACAGUUGGUGGCUCUGCAAGGACAGAUUCAGGAGGGGAGUGUUCUGGGGAGCACCAGGAGAUAAAGUCGGCUUGGCCAGUGGGGACAGAUCCUGAGGAAGACUGAAUGAGGAGAAUGUAUAUCUUGCGUGGGGUCACUAGUUCCCCCCCUCCAGGACACCUCUGCUAAAUUCCUAUUAUGCCGUGGCUAUUUAAAGCUGUAGUUAUUGAGUAAUUUGCAUUCUGCUAUUGUCAACUGGCCUGAAAGCUAGGGCGAUUGAGACGAUGGGUGCUCUUUGUACUUUAAAAAGAAGCAGGCGAAAGCUGGAGCAGGAAAAGCAUAUCAGUGUUACAGUAAAGUGAAGUGGUUAUGCUUUUUGAACUCCCUUAGGCAUUUUCAACGGAAGUAACUUUUGUUACCGGGGAUUGUUUAUCUUGCUUAAGCCACUAUUACUUCAAGAUGCAUUUGAAAUGUAUCCUUUACUGGAUGGCAACUGUAAAUAACAUUUAAAAAUACAUUCUGGAAUAACUUGCAGAGGAAAGCUAAUUUUGUAUGCUCUAAAUUUCUAAAAGGAGAAAAAUGUAUUUUAGUAAUUUACUCCAUGGUUCAUGUUAUCACAUUGAACAGUGUCUCUUGAGUGAACUUUUCAUUUUGAGGUUAGAUAGGUAAUUUCAUCCUUUUUACCUUAGGAGAAAUGUAAUUAUUGCUUACAUGGGUUAUAAAAAUAGAAACUCCCAGGUUUAAUAAGAUCAAAUACUACCAACUUGAGUACUUCAACUCUCAUUUUUCAUUUAGGAGCAUAUUCCUCAGAUCCUGUUAUGUGUGGAUAUUCUACCUUGGUUCAUCCGGGACAUCCAGGACAUCGUAGCUGCCCCAUUCAAUAUUUUUACCUUGUUUUAAUUUUUUUUUUUUUUUUUUUUUUUUUGCAUUAACCUAACAGGAAACCACAGCUCCAUGGCAUAGCUCUCCCUUAGAUGGCUAACGUAAUAUCUCAUCUUUUUGUUUCCUUAAAAAUGAACUGGCAUAUUCUUGUUACCCCAGUACUCUGGGAAGCUGAGGCAGGAGUAUCACAAGUUUGAACUCAGAGUGGACAACUUUGUGACUUAGCAAGACCCUAUCUAGAGAAAAACAACAACUGGGGAUCUAGGGAUGCUAAUGCCCUAGGUUCAAUCUCCAGUGCUAGAAAAAAAAUUAGUUUUUGGUGCUGAGGCUUGAACCCAGGGCCCAGUGCAUGCUAAGCAGGGAUUUUGCCAGUGAGUUACACCCUCCCCCUGAAUUCUAAAGUUCCUUCCAAACCAGCAUGGAUAGGUAAUUAGAAGCCUUGAACCAAAUGAAACUUUCAAAGUCCGUUUAGCCUGGCCCCCCAUAUAUGUGGAAGGGCAGAUGUGACUAGGGUUACCUGAAAAAAUCUUGCUUCUUAAUUAUGUGCUCCUAUCCUUUGACCUAACUGGGAAAAAUACACAAGAAUACAAGUGACUGAAUAUUAGGUUGUAACCUGGACUCUGUGUUGCAGACCUCCAUGCUUUCUCUACAAACCCGAUUUUAGUUAUAGCAUAUGGAUGCUGGCAUGUGGAUUAUCUCCAGUUUCUGUGACUUCAAAUAUUCCAUUUUGAGUUACAUCUCCCUGAAGUUCUUGGUUUGCAUUUUGCUGCAGUCCAUACACAGGAAAAAAAUGAAAUAAAGCAUACAGUUUUGUAA